rnacentral:rRNA from 1 species
GAUGAACGCUGGCGGCGUGCCUAAUACAUGCAAGUCGAGCGAACAGAUGAGGAGCUUGCUCCUCUGACGUUAGCGGCGGACGGGUGAGUAACACGUGGAUAACCUACCUAUAAGACUGGGAUAACUUCGGGAAACCGGAGCUAAUACCGGAUAAUAUAUUGAACCGCAUGGUUCAAUAGUGAAAGACGGUUUUGCUGUCACUUAUAGAUGGAUCCGCGCCGCAUUAGCUAGUUGGUAAGGUAACGGCUUACCAAGGCAACGAUGCGUAGCCGACCUGAGAGGGUGAGCGGCCACACGGGAACGGAGAAACGGUCCAGCCUCGGAGGGGAGGCAGAAGGGGGGAAUAUGCGAAAAGGGGGGAAAGCCGGAGGGAGCAACGCGGCGGGGGUGAAGAAGGUCUGCGGGUUGUAAACCUUUUUUGUUGGGGAAGAAAAAAUGUAGAGGAAAAUACGCACGUCUGGAGGGUACCAAAAGAAAAAGCCAGGGCUAACUUGGUG